rnacentral:rRNA from 1 species
UACGUAGGUGGCAAGCGUUUGUCCGGAUUUACUGGGCGUAAAGCGCGCGUAGGCGGCUUUGUAAGUUAGAGGUGAAAGCCCGGGGCUCAACCCCGGAACUGCCUUUAAGACUGCAUCGCUUGAAUCCGGGAGAGGUGAGUGGAAUUCCGAGUGUAGAGGUGAAAUUCGUAGAUAUUCGGAAGAACACCGGUGGCGAAGGCGGCCCGCUGGGCUGUGGCUGACGCUGAGGCGCGACAGCGUGGGGGGCAAACAGG